rnacentral:rRNA from 1 species
CCCUUAGAUGUCCUGGGCCGCACGCGCGCUACACUGACAUGUUCAACAAGCCUCCUAGUUCGACAGGAUUUGGGAAACCUUUGAACGCAUGUCGUGAUAGGGAUAGAUCAUUGCAAUUAUUGAUCUUGAACGAGGAAUUCCUAGUAAACGCGAGUCAUCAGCUCGCAUUGAUUACGUCCCUGCCCUUUGUACACACCGCCCGUCGCACCUACCGAUUGAAUGUUUCGGUGAAGAUUCCGGAUAGGACUUUUUUGAUUUAUUUCAAUUUUGUCUUAAAAGCUAUCUAAACCUCAACAUUUAGAGGAAGGUGAAGUCGUAACA